UACGAAGGGGGCUAGCGUUGUUCGGAAUUACUGGGCGUAAAGCGCACGUAGGCGGAUAUUUAAGUCAGGGGUGAAAUCCCAGAGCUCAACUCUGGAACUGCCUUUGAUACUGGGUAUCUUGAGUAUGGAAGAGGUGAGUGGAAUUCCGAGUGUAGAGGUGAAAAUUCGUAGAUAUUCGGAGGAACACCAGUGGCGAAGGCGGCUCACUGGUCCAUUACUGACGCUGAGGUGCGAAAGCGUGGGGAGCAAACAGG
rnacentral:rRNA from 1 species